rnacentral:snRNA from 1 species
GUCCCUUCGGGGACAUCUAAUAAAAUCAAAAUGAUUGAUAUAGAGAGGAUUAGCAUGUCCCCCGCGCAAAGAUGACAUGUACAAAUUGAGAACUGGUCCAUUUCCUC